rnacentral:lncRNA from 1 species
ACACAGUCUACCAGUCAUUGAAGAGCAUGGUGAAAGAACAUUGCUUUUCGGAACACUUUGAUGAAUUUCCAAUCAACUUGACCAAGCAAAAUCAUGAUCAUAAGGAUUAGAUUGUAGCAUGAAAUGAUUAGACAAAUGUUUCUAGUUUGAAUUUUUUGGUUAUGGCUCUUGUACUUCAGACCGAAGGUAGUUCCUCUUUGAAAUUACCCAAUAGCAUGAAAUGAUAAGACAAAUGUUUCUAGUUUUGAAUAUUUUAGUUAUGGCCCUUGUACUUCAGACUGAAGGUAGUUCCUCUUUGAAAUUACCCCUCCUUGUUAGUCGAUAACUUU